GACGCUAGCGGCAGGCCUAAUACAUGCAAGUCGAGGGGUAACAGAGAGUGCUUGCACUCUGCUGACGACCGGCGCACGGGUGAGUAACACGUAUGCAACCUACCUUUUACUGGGGGAUAGCCAAGAGAAAUUUUGAUUAAUACCCUAUACGAUCUAAUUAUUUCCUGAUAAAUAGAUGAAAGCUUCGGUGGUAAAAGAUGGGCAUGCGUCCUAUUAGUUUGUUGGUAAGGUAACGGCUUACCAAGACUUCGAUAGGUAGGGGUCCUGAGAGGGAGAUCCCCCACACUGGUACUGAGACACGGACCAGACUUCUACGGGAGGCAGCAGUAAGGAAUAUUGGACAAUGGAGGCAACUCUGAUCCAGCCAUGCCGCGUGCAGGAAGAAUGCCUUAUGGGUUGUAAACUGCUUUUAUACAGGAAGAAAACUUGGUAUGUAUACCAAUUUGACGGUACUGUAAGAAUAAGGAUCGGCUAACUCCGUGCCAGCAGCCGCGGUAAUACGGAGGAUCCAAGCGUUAUCCGGAAUCAUUGGGUUUAAAGGGUCCGCAGGCGGUUUGAUAAGUCAGAGGUGAAAUCCUACAGCUUAACUGUAGAAUUGCCUUUGAUACUGUUAGACUUGAGUUAUUGUGAAGUAAUUAGAAUGUGUAGUGUAGCGGUGAAAUGCAUAGAUAUUACACAGAAUACCGAUUGCGAAAGCAGAUUACUAACAAUACACUGACGCUGAGGGACGAAAGCGUGGGUAGCGAACAGGAUUAGAUACCCUGGUAGUCCACGCCGUAAACGAUGGAUACUAGCUGUUUGAUGCACAUUGGUGUGUUGAGUGGCUAAGCGAAAGUGAUAAGUAUCCCACCUGGGGAGUACGCU
rnacentral:rRNA from 1 species